CUCACAGACUGCACACUGCACAACCCCAGAGGAUCCAUCCACUUAGAUGGUGCUUAAGUGGUGCCUACUGGAUUUGAGCAGUGCCCAAUCUGCAC
rnacentral:miRNA from 1 species